ACACUAAUUUUUUUUUUUUCAGAGACCCUUCCUUACUCAAUCCUAACAUUCACCCACUAAACACUUACACUCAACCUUAGAAAACCCAUUUUCGUCACUCAAACAUCUUCAUCACUGAAUCCUCGAAAAACCCUCGCAACUGUCCUCUCUCGCAACCCUCGCAAUCAACCAUCCAUUUGUACUGCCUCCGUCGGUGUUGCCUCUGUCGGCGCACCCUCCAUCGGCGCGCCCUCUCGCUCGCAAGCCUCCGUCAGCGCUCACUCUCGCUCGCUAGCCUCCCUCAACGCUCACUCUAUCUUGCAAACCCUACCUCCGUCAAUGGUCUCGCUCUCGCUCUCUCUCUCUCUCUCUCUCAUUGUUGCCUCUCCCUCAAUUGGCACUCAACCCUCACCAUAACACAAGAAGGUUCCUAUUAAUCUAUUUCUAUGCCUGUUCUUAUUUCCUAAUUAAUUCUCUGCCAUAGUGAGUGAAUGUUGUGAUUAGUUUAUUCUCUACCAUGAACAAGACGAUUCCAAGAAAGAGGAGAAGGAACUUUUUGCCAAGGUUAACAUGCUCAUGGAGAAGAUCAUUUCUGCGCCUGAUAACCCUAAGCCUGCGAUUCUCCGCGUCCUGGCCUCUAUCCUCAAAAAUGCAAGAGUCACGAAUGUAGAUACGUGGAAGAGAAUGGUGAUUCUUCUUCAAGUAAUGCCCGUGCUUCCCAUAACAUUGGUCGCCUUGGGAGCUUAAUUCAGGUAUUUUCACCUAAAUGGUCUUUUUUUUAAAUCUCUUUAAUGGAGCUUUUAAUGAAGCUAAGCUUUGAUGUUAAAUGCUAAAAUAGAAGUUAUCCGACAUGACCAUUGUCCAUAAGAAAAUGACGAGUUCUUUGAGUUGAUAUCUUUGAAGUUUCCGGCAGAAUCGAUGUACUUAACUGCCGUUCAAGCUGCCACUUGUACACUGCUCUUAUGUUGUUCAUUGACUUGGAUUGUAAGAAUGAUUUUUUAUGCGAGUCUUUUUUUUUCAAUGUAUGUUACGCAUGAUGUGAUGGAGUGUAAAUGUAUAGUAUCCUCAUGUUUUUGAGGAACAUGUACUGGAUUGCAUCAAAGAAUAGGUGCUAGAUCAUAGUGGUAGACUAUCUGCUGAAGAGCAAAAUCUAAAGCAUAACUCAGGGAGAAGGGGUGCCUCAGAUUCUGAAAUGUUAAAAACCUAUUCAACAGGAGUUCUUGUCCUGUGUUUGGUUAGAGGUCAAGUUAUGGAGGAUGUAUUGACAUCUGGAUUGUCAGCUAAGCUCAUGCGUUAUCUCCGUCUGCGUGUGCUUGGUGAGACAAGUAGCAGCCAAAAAAAAAUUACUCAUGCAACAGAUAGUAGGCAUGCAUCAGGGAAUAGUUUAGUUUGAGUUAGAGAUGAUGGUCGUGGAAGAUUUCGAUGUUAGACGGGUGCCUGAUUCUAAAAUGAAUGCAAGGAUAACUUCAAAUGAUUCUGUUUUGGAAAGAGGGGAUGAUGAUGAUUGCUAUAGAGACUGUCGUAUUAAAAGUAGAGAUAUUUCUGAUAUUAUUUGGAAAGCAAUUUGUGCUGCUGAAGCUGAAGCCAGAUCUGCCAAUGCACCUGAUGAAGCUGUUAAAGCAGCUGGUGAUGCAGCUGUUGACCUUGUUAAAAUUGUAGCUUCAGAGGAGUUUAAAUCCGCUAAUGAUGAAGAUGCUGCUUUUUGGCUGCUUCAAAGGCUGCAUCCACUGUUGUUGAGGCUGCAUCUAUAGUUGAGGUUUCAAGUUGCUUUGAAUUCUUCAAUCAUAGGAGAUUGCAAAAGGAAGUGAGCGAAACAGAGGGUUGCUGAACCAAAUAGAGUUUUCAUGGAGCAAACAAAGAGGUUACUGAACUAGACAGAAAUUCCCCUAGAUGCCAAGCCUUAAGCCACGUUCAAUGUGCCUCACCUCAUGUUGAACGUGCCACUUAUGAAGCACCUCCAGUGUCCUUACCAAGCUUCACAUCCAACGUAGGAAGCCCCACGUCCAAUGUGUUAAACCUCACAUUCAACUUGCUUGGCUUCACGUUGAACGUGCCACACAAAGGCACCUCCAGUGGCUUCAACUUGCACCCCACGCCCAACGUGCUGCAUCCCUUGUUCAACUUGCCUCUUGGUGCAUCCAACGUGCCUUCAAUCCACACCUCCAGGGGCCUGUAUUCCUUUCUAUGCUAUGCUAUGCUAUGCGUUGAACGUUCCAUCAAGCACACCUCCAAGGGCUGCUUUUAGGCCUUGCGUUCAACAUGGCUCUUGUGCGUUGAAUGUGCCACUUCGGCCAACCUCCAAGACCUCCUAAUUGUCUUCACUAAUCUCCAAACUUCAAGCACCUAAUUGGAUGAUCCAAGAUGAUGUUGCAAGUCUAUGAUUUUAACAAAGCACUCCAUCAAGUUUUGAAUUUCAAUUACAAGGAAGAUCACUAGACUUAUUAGAAAAGACUUAUUAAUGAGAUUGGAUUUGAUUUAGUUUCUUUUUGAACGAUUUUUUGAAUUCAGAAUUAUUUCUUUUA